GCCAGGCUCCUGUGUGUGCUGGGGGGGGGGGGGGUUGCAUGCAUGUGAGAAUGCGUUUGAUUGGUUUACCUAUUUAGAAGGAGAGAGAGAGAAGAGGAGGGCAACAGAAAGAGACAGAGAGAGAGAGAGAGGGAAAGAGAGAGAGAGAUUUGUAAAACACUUGUAUUUGUAAACCGCUGGCUGAGUUCCCACUAGAGGCAGAGAGAUCAGACUGAAAGAGAGUGUGUGAGUGUGUGUGUGUGUGUGUGUGUGUGUGUGUGUGUGUGUGUGUCAGGACUGAGACGGAGAGAGACAGGCAGGCAGGCAGGCAGGCACAGAGAGGAACCGUUCCACCACUCCUCAGCCCGUCUACAUGAGGUUUCUUCACGAAUAUGGAGGCUUUUCGCUCUCUUGAUUUUGUUUUCCUACCUUCCAGUCACCACAGAUUCAUGCUGCCGAACUUUUGACCCCCUUUUUAGGCUGAAGGUAAAAAGGAACAGGCUCGGCGGAGACAGAUGAGAGCUCUGUUUGUAGUUUUGCAGAAGGUGAGGAUGAUGACAACGAUGAUGGCGUUUGCCGCGUCUGCAGGGCUAUUUAAGGAAACAUUUGCAUCACAGCCUCUCCAAACUCCUGCUGGCUUCUCUUCAAACGUUUUUUGGAUCUCCACGUCUACAUGGAUGGGAACACACCUUGGCAUGGUGUUGCUCCGCAAGGGCCAAGAAAAACACGGAAGCACACAAACACACACACACACACACAGAGAAUUGUGAUACUCACGGCACGCAGCUAUAUCUAGCUCGUCUUUCUGGGUGACAGUUAGCAUUACAAAGUUAGCAUUUUUCCAUUGUAAUAACCAUUUGUUCAAACCUGAGAAGGAAAUAUACACUUGACAGGUCUGACAUCACAGCACGCUUUGCAGAAAUACACAAAAUACAUGUUUAGAUUUGAAUUGCAGACAUUUAAAAUGUAUGUGGUUUGGAUGGGAAUCACAGGCGAGUGACAUGCAAGCAUUUCUGGGAUUUUCGACUUGUUUGAGUCCAACUACAACAACAAAGAGAUAAAAAAAUAAACUGGGUAGCUUGAUUUUGGUUAAUUAUACGUUGAUUUUCUAUGCCAUCAAAAUAGCUGCCACCAAUCAAACCAAGGGUGCCCACGGUGAACAUUCAACGCUGUCGGUGAGUUUAAUCUCUAAACAAAACCAUUGACCGUUGACUGUACCCUGAGGGACGCCACAACACACAUGAACCAGGGUUCCCCCAAGCCCGGUGACCCACUGGGCCUAAGUUGCCCCACACCGGGCCUACGCCACUAGGAUUUCUUUUUGAAUGAAUUUUUAAGACGUUUUUAAACUACAGUUACAGUGGGGCGGGUUGGUUGGAAACUGACAUAGUAUUUUCAAAUCUCCAGUUGGCUUUUAUCACAGGCUCUACAUUAAUUCUGCCAUCAGUCUGUGACUGGUCCGAGCUGGAGCCUCGUGAAAAAAAGAAAAACUUUUCUGGGGGAAACCACGUGCACAUAAAUCUCUGGAAACCAUACGAUGUAAAAUA